GGUUUAGCACUUUCCGGGCUGACCGAAAAGACAGGCGAUGGAAGGUGAAGUGUUGCACGCCGGGAUCGUACCUCGUGUACAACUGCCUGACCACCCUCCCAGCCAACGAGUGGAAUGACGUCAUGGACUUCUCCUCCCCCUCCGCCUACUACAUGCGCGGGAUUCGUAGUGACGUCAGCGCAGGGAAGAGGGAUCGCCGUUACCAGUUUGAUCUGUGCAAGCUCAAAAAGCCGGUCACCCAAAACCUUUAUGGUUGAAAAUCUUCACGCUCUUGGAGGAAACAGCACGGAUCUAGUGGAGUAAAUCAUGAUCCAGAUCUUCUUCUUCUUUUGCUUCAUUUAAUUUUACAUACAACCAGGGUUGACUAACUCCGUAGAUUUUCAUGGACAAUAUGCAGUUUGACAUGAACAGUACCAUUGUUGUUGCAAGGUGUUUCUACUUGAGACUAUAAUCAUUGAAUACAUGUACAUUCAAAAUUCACCAGCAUUAUGAUUGUACAUUACUGUACAGCUUUAUUUGGCUUCAUGUUUUUUGCCAUAACUUAGAGCUUGAUACCAGGGGUAUGUCUAAGUUGUUGGUUGUAUAGUGGUUGACAACAUCAGAUGAAGAUCCCUAACAUUACUUAGUGACAAUUGUCCCUUCUAUUCAUUUUCAACUUUACAUACAUUAAGGUUAUUACCAUUUGGUCCAAAUGCCGGAUAACAUCAUUGACUUUAUGCACAUGCAGUCAAAUUCUAGCUUGUUACAGUGGCAUUUUCACAAUCUGCUACUCUUACAGUUACUAAAAGUUUUAAGUAUGGCCUGUUUGACAACAACUUUGAAGCCAGUAUCACAACAGACUGCAAACUCUGAAAGGACAUUUUUGGUAACAGUACAGCUGAUGUUCUCCCAAUCACUGACCUUAGAGACCAGUC